GGGCCCGCACAAGCGGCGGAGCAUGCGGCUUAAUUCGAUGCGACGCGAAGAACCUUACCUGGGCUUGACAUGCAGGGCAAAGCCGGUGAAAGCCGGCGCUCUACGGAGCCUGCACAGGUGGUGCAUGGCUGUCGUCAGCUCGUGCCGUGAGGUGUUGCCUUAAGUGGCGCAACGAGCGCAACCCUUGUCCUUAGUUGCCAGCGGGUAAAGCCGGGAACUCUAGGGAGACUGCCGGUGCCAAACCGGAGGAAGGUGGGGAUGACGUCAAGUCAUCAUGCCCCUUAUGUCCAGGGCUGCACGCAUGCUACAAUGCGCGGUACAAAGGGCUGCGAUCCCGUAAGGGGGAGCGAAUCCCAAAAAGCCGCGCUCAGUUCGGAUCGGGGUCUGCAACCCGACCCCGUGAAGUCGGAGUCGCUAGUAAUCGCAGAUCAGCAAUGCUGCGGUGAAUACGUUCCCGGGCCUU
rnacentral:rRNA from 1 species